rnacentral:rRNA from 1 species
UACAGAGGGUGCGAGCGUUGUUCGGAAUUAUUGGGCGUAAAGGGCGCGUAGGCGGUGCGGUAAGUCACCUGUGAAAUCUCCUGGCUCAACUGGGAGCUUGCAGGCGAAACUGCCGUGCUGGAGUGUGGGAGAGGUGCGUGGAAUUCCCGGUGUAGCGGUGAAAUGCGUAGAGAUCCGGAAGAACACCGGUGGCGAAGGCGGUCUGCUGGGCAGUUGCUGACACUGAUGCGCGACAGCGUGGGGAGCAAACAGG